CAUCAAAACUCCGCAGUUAAGCGUGUUUGGGCGAGAGUAGUACUAGGAUGGGUGACCUCCCGGAAAGUCCUCCUGUUGCAUCCCUCUUUUCUUUUUUCGGUGUUUCUCUAUUUUUUUUUGUUAGAAAUGUAUGACUCUAUAAGGUUUAGACAGUGACGCCAAACUUCGCAUGUGAUACCUUUUCAGAAAGCCCAAAGAGAGCUCUCCGAUGAAUGAGGAAGGAAAAUUGAAUUUUUCUAUUGGUUUUUUUUCUACUCCAAAUUUUGACGUUAAUGUACUUUUUUGGGCCUUUUCGUGAUCUUUACUAUAUUACGGAGCGAAAAUUAUAUGUUCGGACAUUGUUUUCGAAUAUUUUGCAUGUAUCAAAGGUCUUAUAAACAAGAUAGGAUAUUCCUACAUAGUUGGUGGGACCCAUGGCAAAUGGAUCGUAAAGUCUUCAAAAAAGAAUAGAUACGAUUGCAUUGCAUGUAGUAACGGAUGCGAUCAUACCAGCACUAAUGCACCUGAUCCCAUCAAAACUCCGUAGUUAAGCGUGCUUGGGGCGACAGUAGUACUAGGAUGGGUGACCUCCCGGAAAGUCCUCGUGUUGCAUCCCUCUUUUCUUUUUUCGG
rnacentral:sRNA from 1 species